GAUGAACGCUGGCGGCGUGCCUAAUACAUGCAAGUCGAGCGAACAGACGAGGAGCUUGCUCCUCUGACGUUAGCGGCGGACGGGUGAGUAACACGUGGAUAACCUACCUAUAAGACUGGGAUAACUUCGGGAAACCGGAGCUAAUACCGGAUAAUAUAUUGAACCGCAUGGUUCAAUAGUGAAAGACGGUUUUGCUGUCACUUAUAGAUGGAUCCGCGCCGCAUUAGCUAGUUGGUAAGGUAACGGCUUACCAAGGCAACGAUGCGUAGCCGACCUGAGAGGGUGAUCGGCCACACUGGAACUGAGACACGGUCCAGACUCCUACGGGAGGUAGCAGUAGGGAAUCUUCCGCAAUGGGCGAAAGCCUGGCGGAGCAACGCCGCGUGAGUGAUGAAGGUCUUCGGAUCGUAAAACUCUGUUAUUAGGGAAGAACAAAUGUGUAAGUAACUAUGCACGUCUUGACGGUACCUAAUCAGAAAGCCACGGCUAACUACGUG
rnacentral:rRNA from 1 species